rnacentral:rRNA from 1 species
UACGUAGGGUGCGAGCGUUGUCCGGAAUUAUUGGGCGUAAAGAGCUCGUAGGCGGUGUGUCGCGUCGGCCGUGAAAACCUGGGGCUCAACUCUGGGCGUGCGGUCGAUACGGGCAUCACUUGAGUUCGGCAGGGGAGACUGGAACUCCUGGUGUAGCGGUGAAAUGCGCAGAUAUCAGGAGGAACACCGAUGGCGAAGGCAGGUCUCUGGGCAUUAACUGACGCUGAGGAGCGAAAGCAUGGGGAGCGAACAGG